GAUGAACGCUAGCGGCAGGCUUAAUACAUGCAAGUCGAGGGGCAGCAUGAUUGUAGCAAUACAAUUGAUGGCGACCGGCGAACGGGUGCGGAACACGUACACAACCUUCCAACAAGUGGGGGAUAGCCCAGAGAAAUUUGGAUUAAUACCCCGUAACAUAGCGAUGUGGCAUCACAUUGCUAUUAUAGAUUUUUCGCUUGUUGAUGGGUGUGCGGCUGAUUAGAUAGUUGGCGGGGUAACGGCCCACCAAGUCUACGAUCAGUAGCUGAUGUGAGAGCAUGAUCAGCCACACGGGCACUGAGACACGGGCCCGACUCCUACGGGAGGCAGCAGUAAGGAAUAUUGGACAAUGGACGCAAGUCUGAUCCAGCCAUGCCGCGUGAAGGAUUAAGGUCCUCUGGAUUGUAAACUACUUUUAUAAGGGACGAAAAAAGGCUUUUCUAAGUCGUCUGACGGUACCUUAUGAAUAAGCACCGGCUAACUCCGUGCCAGCCGCCGCAGUAACAC
rnacentral:rRNA from 1 species